rnacentral:rRNA from 1 species
CCUACGGGAGGCAGCAGUGGGGAAUAUUGCACAAUGGGGGAAACCCUGAUGCAGCGACGCCGCGUGAGUGAAGAAGUAUUUCGGUAUGUAAAGCUCUAUCAGCAGGGAAGAAAAUGACGGUACCUGAUUAAGAAGCCCCGGCUAACUACGUGCCAGCAGCCGCGGUAAUACGUAGGGGGCAAGCGUUAUCCGGAUUUACUUGGUGUAAGGGGAGCGUAGACGGCAGAACAAGUCUGGAGUGAAAUGCCGGGGCUUAACCCCGGAACUGCUUUGGAAACUGUGCAGCUAGAGUGCAGGAGAGGUAAGUGGAAUUCCUAGUGUAGCGGUGAAAUGCGUAGAUAUUAGGAGGAACACCAGUGGCGAAUGCGGCUUACUGGACUGUAACUGACGUUGAGGCUCGAAAGCGUGGGGAGCAAACAGGAUUAGAUACCCCAGUAGUC